rnacentral:rRNA from 1 species
UACAGAGGUCCCAAGCGUUGUUCGGAUUCACUGGGCGUAAAGGGUGCGUAGGUGGUGAGGUAAGUCGGAUGUGAAAUCUCCGGGCUCAACCCGGAAACUGCAUUGGAAACUACCUUGCUUGAGGAUUUGAGGGGGGAUUGGAAUACUUGGUGUAGCAGUGAAAUGCGUAGAUAUCAAGAGGAACACUUGAGGUGAAGACGGGUUGCUGGGCUGAUACUGACGCUGAGGCGCGAAAGCUAGGGUAGCAAACGGG